rnacentral:rRNA from 1 species
GCUUGUCUCAAAGAUUAAGCCAUGCAUGUCUUAGUGUAAAUAACUCUUAUGAAACUGCGAAUGGCUCAUUAAAUCAGUUAUAGUUUAUUUGAUGGUUCUUGCUACUUGGAUAACCGUAGUAAUUCUAGAGCUAAUACAUGCAUCAAACCCCGACUUCUGGAAGGGGUGUAUUUAUUAGAUGGAAACCAAUUCGGGGCAACCCGGUUUAUGGUGAUUCAUAAUAACUUUCGGAUCGACGCAAGUCGAUGCAUCAUUCAAGUUUCUGCCCUAUCAGUUGUGGAUGGUAGGGUAUUGGCCUACCAUGACUUUAACGGGUAACGGAGAAUUAGGGUUCGAUUCCGGAGAGGGAGCCUGAGAAAUGGCUACCACAUCCAAGGAAGGCAGCAGG